ACCUGGCUGGCUCCAGGCUGUUCCCAGAGCACAGUGCAAUUUCUUAGACUGGAAGAAGUAUUACAACGCUGUGGAGGGAAUUGCCCAUGGACAGGCUCUGCUAGGGCCUGGGAUGUGACAGCUCCUCUCUAUUGCAGCUGCCCAAGGCCAGGUCAGAGGUCUGUCUAGCCUGGUCUCUUCCUGACAUCAGGUGCCGCAGAAAGGAUGGACAAAGGCAGUGAGCUGGCAGCAGGAGAUCAGCUUGAUGGUCUGCUAGCUGCCAAUGGUGAGGAGGGAACGUCAGGAAUGCCUUGAGUCUGACAUGUGCCUCUAUUUUGAAUAACCUUCUGUGAGUUUCAUCCUUCCUGAUUUUGAGUCACCACCGUCUGAACCCAUGAAGACUCCUCUUGUCCACUACACCUUGUGGAGGGGCAGCUGGGCAGGAGUGGGAACAGCUAUCUGAGGCCACAUCAACAUCGUUCAUCUGCAUGCCAGGGCUUGUGGCUUAUAGCAUGUGCCAGAAAGAUCCUUGGUGGCAUGUCACUGCUGUCUCUCUUUUUCAUAUCACUUGAAGGGACCAGAUAUGCCAGAUGUGUCCAGAUUGUGGGUCUGAUCUUCAAGCAGAGAAGAGCAGUUGCACACACCUGAGAACCAGGUGUCAAGGCUUCUUAUGAAAGGGGAAAUAUUGAGGCUGUGAAUAUUAAGGCUGGCUAAUGCAAGAUAACAUAGCGAGCAGGUGGAAAUCUGGUGGCAGCAAGACAGUUUUCCUCCCCCUGAUGAUUUGGACUGCCUUGCUGAUGAAAUAAAGAGGGUCUGCCUGAAGCACUAGCCUUCCUGCUAGUAGUCCUACAGAAGAAUGUGGCACUUCUGCUUGCACCUGUGACCUAUGGUUCUAGAAACAGUGUUGACACAUGCGGGUUGAAGCAUUAACUUCCCUGGACAAGG